AUUGAACGCUGGCGGCAGGCCUAACACAUGCAAGUCGAACGAGUGGCGGACGGGUGCGUAAUGUCUGGGAAAAUGCCCGAUGGAGGGGGAUAACUACUGGAAACGGUAGCUAAUACCGCCUACCAUCGGAUGUGCCCAGAUGGGAUUAGCUUGUAGGUGAGGUAACGGCUCACCUCGGCGACGAUCCCUAGCUGGUCUGAUAGGAUGACCAGCGAAACUGGAACGGAGACCCGGUCCAGACGCCUACGGGAGGCAGCAGUGGGGAAUAGUGGGCAAUGGGCGAAAGCCUGAUCCAGCCAUGCCGCGUGUGUGAAGAAGGUCUUCGGAUUGUAAAGCACGUUAAGUUGGGAUGCGGUACCAACAGAAGAAGCACCGGCUAACUUCGUGCCAGCAGCCGCGGUAAUUC
rnacentral:rRNA from 1 species